GACGAACGCUGGCGGCGUGCUUAACACAUGCAAGUCGAACGGAAAGGCCCUGCUUUUGUGGGGUGCUCGAGUGGCGAACGGGUGAGUAACACGUGAGUAACCUGCCCUUGACUUUGGGAUAACUUCAGGAAACUGGGGCUAAUACCGGAUAGGAGCUCCUGCUGCAUGGUGGGGGUUGGAAAGUUUCGGCGGUUGGGGAUGGACUCGCGGCUUAUCAGCUUGUUGGUGGGGUAGUGGCUUACCAAGGCUUUGACGGGUAGCCGGCCUGAGAGGGUGACCGGCCACAUUGGGACUGGGAUACGGCCCAGACUCCUACGGGGGGCAGCAGUGGGGAAUAUUGCACAAUGGGCGGAAGCCUGAUGCAGCAACGCCGCGUGCGGGAUGACGGCCUUCGGGUUGUAAACCGCUUUCGCCUGUGACGAAGCGUGAGUGACGGUAAUGGGUAAAGGAGCACCGGCUAACUACGUG
rnacentral:rRNA from 1 species